UACGGAGGGUGCAAGCGUUGUCCGGAUUUAUUGGGUUUAAAGGGUGCGUAGGCGGCCUUGUAAGUCAGUGGUGAAAGCCUCCAGCUCAACUGGAGAACUGCCAUUGAUACUGCAAGGCUUGAGUACAGACGAGGUUGGCGGAAUUGAUUGUGUAGCGGUGAAAUGCAUAGAUAUGUCACAGAACACCAAUUGCGAAGGCAGCUUACUAUGGUUAGAUUGACACUGAGGCACGAAAGCGUGGGGAUCAAACAGG
rnacentral:rRNA from 1 species